rnacentral:lncRNA from 1 species
CAAUGAAGUAACGCAAUCCAAUUAGUUGGUAAAAUUGUGUUGUUAUGCCGUUUAUUUUAUUUGUACAAUUCAUUCAAGACAUUAUUCCGUUCAAAACCUAUAAGUAAGAGCUGCUUUUCGAACAUAGCUAAGUUUCGUCAUUAGUCAUUGCUAAACUGCUCUUCACUUCUUGUCUCGUUUUUUCUGUUUCACCAGACGUUCAACAACUCAAAGCAUCAUGAACACUUUUAAGAUGUCUAUCAUUCUCAUCGUGUCUCUCUGUCUCCUGAUGAGCAUAGGACACUCUGAAGCACAGUCGACCUCAGCUGAGUCGACCUCAGCUGAGUCUGUGGCCUCAGCUGAGUCGACCUCAGCAGAGUCUGCCGCCUCAGCAGAGUCUGCCGCCUCAGCAGCAUCUGUCGCCUCAGCAGCGUCUGCUGACUCCGGUCGCAAGAAGCGAUCUGAAUCAGACUCCGACUCGGCAGAAGCGAUCUAGUUCAGAGGAGGAGUCUGAUGGCGCUGCCUCAUCACAAUCUGCUUCUUCCAAGUAUGAACCAAGUCCGACUACGGACGUUCUGUGGCGACGUCUAGACGAUGAUUUAUGAUUCAAAUUCAACAGAUUACAAGUAGAUGUUAAACAACUCUUUGUGUGUCACUCUCAUAAUAUCCAUGUUCUAUACUUUAAAUCUGGACGUGUAAUUUUAUCUUUCGUUAAUUUGACUAUUUCAAGUGCAAAUUAUAAAAAAAAAAACAUAUAUGUCAUAAAGCAGUUGGUCUUGUAUUCAAUUAUGGCUGGAAAUUGGUCAUUAUGCAAGGCUUUUGUAAGACAGUUCAGAUCACACUUUCUUCCCGAUUAGCACUCGAGGCACACACGUGAGUGUGUCGAUCAGCACUCUUGGCAGAUGAAAGGUUAUUCAAUACGAUUAUUGACAUAAUUCUAUUUAUAUCUAGCUAUAGACAGAUAAUGACAUAUUAUAACUACUAAUUUCACUGUAAAAUUAUAUUAUUAUUCAAAUUAAACAGUUAAAAUGUGUGUAAUCUGAAUUGGCAGUGCCUUCUUUACAUGUUAACGAUUGAUUUUUCUUAUACAAAUAAUUACAGUGCAGAAUUUUUAAUGUGUUUUUAAAAAUUCUAGAUAGAUUUGUCUUUACAUGUUAUCAGGAUACUACAUGGUCGACUGUUUUCCCAAUCAAAUCAUAUUCGGUUUAAGUGUUCUUUGUUUUUUAUGUAAGCACAGACAUUCGAAAGUAAUAGUGUUGCAGAAUGCUUUCUGCUUUCCUCUUCUUUUCCCCUUUUUCUCAUUUUUCCUUUCCUGUUUUACAUUCCCUUCUUUAUCAUCAUUGAUCUGUUGUUAAUGUUCCCUGCUCUUAAAAUACAAUACAAAUGUGUGUAUCAUAAUCAUGAUUAAAUCGAAGCUCAAAACCACA